AGCACAUUAGCCACCAUGAUUUUUUUUUUUUUUUGAGAUGGAAUUCGCUGUUUCGCCCAGGCUGGAGUGAAGUGGCGCGAUGUGGGCUCACUGCAACCUCCGCCCCCAGGGUUCAAGGGAUUCUCCUGCCUCAGCCACCAUGAUUUAACACUGAGAAGUAGGCAGUCACAGAGAAAAAGUUUGGAAUAGUUCACCAGUGAAGUCAUCUCAACCAGCACAGGGCCUUGACUCCUAACAACAAUCACACGAACUUGGAAGAGGAUCCUUCCCCAGCUGAAACUUCACUUGAGACCUUCUCAUUGGCCAUCAUCGACAUCUGGAUUCAUGAUACAGAGAAACUUGAGUAAUGAUGACAAUAGCAGUCCAGCCUGCAUGGAUGCUGACAUGGAUGCUGUCUCCCAUUCUUACCACUGGAUGUCAAGAACUGCUAGAUGCGAUCCAGCCAGUCUGUACUCGACUCUCAGUUCCAUCUUCUCAACUCACAGUGUCUUCCAAAGUCCAUGCCACACCACAGCCUGGAAGAUCUCCCAAGGUGGUAUCUUGAGGCAAUGGUAGAGCUCAUGUCACAGUAUUGUAUGCCUCAGGCUUUGAAUAACUCACCAGUGAAGUCAUCUUGACCUGGACAGAAAUUGAAUCCUCCCAAGAAUCCCAGGAGCUUGGAAGGGGAUCCUUCCCCAGAUGAGCCUUCCCUUGAAAUCUCUGCCAGGCAUCUGACCCAGAGAAACU
rnacentral:lncRNA from 10 species